AUUGAACGCUGGCGGCAGGCUUAACACAUGCAAGUCGAGCGGUAGCACAAGAGAGCUUGCUCUCUGGGUGACGAGCGGCGGACGGGUGAGUAAUGUCUGGGAAACUGCCUGAUGGAGGGGGAUAACUACUGGAAACGGUAGCUAAUACCGCAUAACGUCGCAAGACCAAAGAGGGGGACCUUCGGGCCUCUUGCCAUCAGAUGUGCCCAGAUGGGAUUAGCUAGUAGGUGGGGUAAUGGCUCACCUAGGCGACGAUUCCUAGCUGGUCUGAGAGGAUGACCGGCCACAUGGGAGCUGAGACACGGUCCAGGCUCCUACGGGAGGCAGCAGUCGGGAAUGUUGCGCAGUGGGCGCAAGCCUGAUGCAGCCAUGCCGCGUGUGUGAAGGAGGCCUUCGGGUUGUAAAGCACUUUCAGCGAGGAGGAAGCUGGUGAACUUAAUACGUUCAUCAAUUGACGUUACUCGCAGAAGAAGCACCGGCUAACUCCGUG
rnacentral:rRNA from 1 species